GCGCGCUUAGCUCAGUGGUAGAGCGACUCGUUUACACCGAGUAGGUCGUAGGUUCGAUCCCUUCAGCGCGCACAA
rnacentral:tRNA from 1 species